UGAAUCUUGUUUCAGAGAAGAAAUUUUUCGGCACUGUCUUGGCUCUUUUCCAUUGGAAUAUCGUAGCUUGGCUGCCAGAGCUACAUUGUUUAUCAUAGAAGGAUAAAAGUUAAAGGAGUGGCACACCGUGCGGCGAUAUUUUUUAGCAGUCCAUGUGGUGGAAAAAUAUAUUGACAAUACUGUUACUUGGCUCAUAUGCCACAACGAUUUCAGGCAAGACGGACACUCAGGGGCAGCAGUGGUGCACGCACACAUAGACCAGGCACCGUUUAUUGCGAGCCAAUGGACUGCCCUAUUGGAAAAAAAUACAACUGCCUCAUAAAGGCUGGUCACAGCUACAAGCAAUGUGUGCCUCAAUUACAGACUUGCCAUGUGGCGUGGCAAAGCGUGUGCAAUGUCGUUUACUAUGCCCUUCGCUGUUGUAGUACAGGCAACAGAUGCAUUUGUCAUUGCGGUAAGUGUUAAGUUUUUUUAAUUAAAGGCACCUAUUUUGUUUUAGCCUUAGGCGUGAAACCACCGCUCUCUUUCGGCGCUUUGUGUCCUUUCUUGCUGAAUAGUGGAACACUUUGCCGGUCACGAAGUAUCAGAGAGGUUCCAAUGCAACAUAAAUCACCGCUCAGGCAUCGUUGAACAAGACAACAGUGGCUUUUCCACGUCCUGUGGAUUUCUCUACAUUUGCCGUGCAGCUAAUUAAACUUUUGUCAGC